rnacentral:rRNA from 1 species
UGUGAACGCUGGCGGUAGGCCUAACACAUGCAAGUCGAACGGCAGCACAGUAAGAGCUUGCUCUUACGGGUGGCGAGUGGCGGACGGGUGAGGAAUACAUCGGAAUCUACUUUUUCGUGGGGGAUAACGUAGGGAAACUUACGCUAAUACCGCAUACGACCUACGGGUGAAAGCAGGGGAUCUUCGGACCUUGCGCGAUUGAAUGAGCCGAUGUCGGAUUAGCUAGUUGGCGGGGUAAAGGCCCACCAAGGCGACGAUCCGUAGCUGGUCUGAGAGGAUGAUCAGCCACACUGGAACUGAGACACGGUCCAGACUCCUACGGGAGGCAGCAGUGGGGAAUACUGGACAAUGGGCGCAAGCCUGAUCCAGCCAUACCGCGUGGGUGAAGAAGGCCUUCGGGUUGUAAAGCCCUUUUGUUGGGAAAGAAAAGCAGCAGGUUAAUACCCCGCUGUUCUGACGGUACCCAAAGAAUAAGCACCGGCUAACUUCGUG